AGCAACCUGCCUUUCAGAGGGGGAUAACAUUUGGAAACAGAUGCUAAUACCGCAUAAGAUUACAGUACCGCAUGAUACAGUGAUCAAAGGAGCAAUCCGCUGAAAGACGGGCUCGCGUCCGAUUAGAUAGUUGGUGAGGUAACGGCUCACCAAGUCGACGAUCGGUAGCCGGACUGAGAGGUUGAACGGCCACAUUGGGACUGAGACACGGCCCAG
rnacentral:rRNA from 1 species